UUAUUCUCCCAUAGAAAUUAAAUUGUUGAAAAGAUUAAACAAAAAAGAAGAAGAAAUUAAAAUGACCCGAUUAGUUAAGAUAAAGAGAUUAGAUUUUCUCAGGUUGAGAGGGAAAAGUGAUCACAAAGGUUUCAUUUUCCAAAUUUAAGUUAAUUAGUUAAUUUGUUUUUCUUUAAUCUCUUCUUCUGUUUUUGGCUCUGUCCCUUUUUCCAUUCAAUUUCUUUGAUUCUCUUUGAUUGUUAAUCGUCUCCAUGCUCAUAGCUUUAAGGCUUUUUUCUGGUUUCAGGCUAUCGGCGAGUGGAACUUGCCGGUGAAUGAUAAUGAGCAUCAGGAAUAUAAUCACCAUCAUCAUCAACUACUAGCAGAAAGAGAGAUAUCAUUUCAAGAGUUCACCCCUUUAGGCUAUGGUUUGGAUAUCGUUUGUCUCCAAUUUUACGUUCUCAUCAAUCGCCUCAUUUUCUCAUUUCGUUUUCUUUCUCUAUUCUCACCUCAUCAUCUUUAUUUUUCAUCGUCACUUUUGUUUGCUGAAUUUCUCAUCUCUAUGUGUAUAUUCAUUGGAUUUUCUCUAUUUGUAUUGACGGCUUAUUGUCUAUUCUAUGUGAACAUUGUUACUCCUUUUUUUCUCUAUCGUUUAUCUUUUCUUGUUUUCUUCUUCACCUUUUCUCGUAUUUGCAACAAUCAAGUAAAUUACAAGAAAAAUCUUCAACGUGUUUAUGUGUUUGCAUGGAGAAAAAAACUGAAAAGAAACAUCGAUGUAAAUUGUAUUUGCAUUUUCCAUUUUCUUUUUCUCUUUCAUCAGUUCUGAGUGAGAGAGAGAGAGAGUUUUUUUUUCUCUUCGCCUUAAUGGUUUAAUCAUCAAGAUGGCGAUCAAGGAGAUUGGGGUAUGAACAUACGAACCAAUGAAUAAAUGAAGAAAAUGAAUGAAUGAAUGAGAAUUUUAUUUAUAAUUAAUUUGUGAUGGUUUUUCUCCAUUGGGAUCAAUUGUUAAACAGCCUGUUGGUAAUUAUCAUUGGAUCAAGUUGAAUGGCCCUACACUUCUUAGGUGGAUCUCUCAUCUAUUUUACACUUUUCAUCAUCAUCAUUUCAUCUUCUUCAUUCAUCUAAUAAUCUCCCUUGAACCUUCGUUAACCAAUGAGCCUGAAUGGUAAUGAUGAUGAAGAUAAAGUUGCUGUUGAUGAUGAUGAUGGUUCACAGUGGCUCAAUUGCAACAACAGAAUCAGCGGCAAGAAACACUCAGCAAAUUGAGAGAAAUUGAAAUAAGGAGCUUUAACCAAAGGAGCAAGAUGACGAUGAUGAUAAUGUUUGAGGCUGAUGAUGGAUUUGAUUCGGUCUUGUGAAUUGUUCUCUUUCUGCACUCUACCUACUUCAUCAUCUUAACCAUCAUAUUUCCAUCCACUCUCACAGUAUUUCUACAGAAACGAUAUAUAUAUAUGCAUGAUUGACUGUAGAAAAAGCUUCCAACAAAGAGAGAAAAAGAAAAGUAAAUGAAAUUGAGAGAGAUAGUAAAAGAAUAGUAAUAAAAAAAAGCAGAAUUGAUAGAUAGAAUGUAGUAGCUAGUGAUUAGUUUUACUUGCGAGUGCAAAUAUAUGGGGUGUUGGCCUUUUGCUUGUUAAAAUUGAUUGCCAAAUGAUUUGAUCACCUUUCACCAUACUUGAGUUGAGUUAUAGCUUAGAUUUAAGCUAAUUUCGCACCCUUUUUUUUCGCUUGCUCUUUUCUCUCUUCCUCAUCCUCAUCCUUUUCUCUAUCUCUCCUUUACAUUUACUUUUCUCUUUCCCCAGUGCAAAAAAAUGCGAACGUUGUAAGAGAAAGAAAGAGACCAAUCAUGCAAUAUUAGUGAAAAAGAAAAUAAUUACACUUUCCUGGUUUGAAAGAGAGAGAAAAAUGAAGUAGAUUAUUAUGAUGAUGAUGAAGAAGAGGCAGUUGAGAGAGAGAGAGAAUAUGUUUAUGAAUUGGAAUUGAUUGGUUGAAGAGAAGAAAAUGAAGACAUGAUGAUUAUUCCUAAUGAUGAAAUGAUGAUUAUUAUUAUUGCAAUUAUAUGACAAUCAGCAAUCAUAUCGCACGGAUAAGAGAUGAUGCUGAUGAAGGAGAAACAAUGUUGAUGGAGGGAAGCAGAAGAAGGAAGCAAAACAGAAGGAAGCAAAUUUAAUUUACAAAGGAGAUAACAAGAAAUCCACACCACUCAGAGGGAGAAAAGAGAGAGAGACAGAUGUGAUUAUUGUGAUUCUCAAUAAUUAUGUGUACAUUUUGAUAAUUAUGUUGAUCAACUUAUAAUUGUCUCUCACCUUCUCGUCACAAUAUAAGAGAUCGAUAAGAAUCAAUGGAUUAUUUUCAACAUGGAACUUUGGUUUUCCCUCGUCUUUCAACUUCUCUCUCUCUCAUUCUAUUGAAGAUUUUUAAGGAAACAGCAUUUCUAUUGCUUAUUGAUAAUCAAUAGUUAAUUUAAAAACAUUCUGUUAACUAUUAUGUUCACCUUUUCGGUUGGAUUUUUUUUUCUGGUUGUCGACUAAUUUUCUGGUUUACUUGUGAUUUAGUGGCCUUCGAGUUUUUUUUUAAUCUAACAAUUAGUUUUUUCUCUCUCCCUCUUUCUCACUAAUUUUUUCUCUCUCUCCAUUAUCAACUUUCUUCAUCUCUCUACUUUAGUUAAUUAUGUUAAGAUUGAUCUAUGAUCAAUUGUUUACGGUUGAUGACUUUUAGGCUCCACCAACCGAUGAUGAUAAAUGAUAUUAUCUCAAUGUCACUAAUUAGAUUUUUCGUAAUCUCUUGUUCUCUCACUCUGGCAAUACGAAUUAUCCAAUUGACAACUCUUCCUUGGUCCAAUAAGAUAUUAUUAGAAUGCGAAAAUAAUCCCUCCAGGAAUAGUAAUUUUAUCAUAAUUCCCAUAUAACAAGAGGUGUCAUACUCUGAAAAGCCAAAAACUGGAGUCAAAGAAGAUUAAGAAAUCGAGUGACAAUUAACAACAACAACAACAACAAGGAUUCAUCAUACUAAUCAGGAUUUUAUAAGGAUUUCAUCAUCUACUACUAUUUUUAACAAUUGAUUAUCUUUCCUAAUUUCUUUCUCCUCUCUAGCAACAAAAUUUAUUGACUCUCUCCUCAAGGUAACCAUUACAUUGAUUAUGUCAUUUAAUGAUCAAUUUUCAAGAUCAAAACCUUGAAAUAUACACACAGACACACAACACAAGAAAAGAGACAAAAAAAAUUGGGAAACAAAUUGAUUGUCAUUGUACAGUUACAAUUAUAAUUACUUUCUCUUUAUACUCAUUAGUGAGAUUACAAGAAAAAAAAAAGAUCAACUCAUCGUGUAUCAUGAUGACAAGAAGAUUAGUUAACAUGAGUUACCUUUAUAAACCAAUUUCACAAACUGUCGUAUCAAUCAAUAAUUCAGUUAAUUUAAUCUGCUCUCACUGAUCAAAAAGUCAUCAUGAUAAUAAUAACAUCAUCAUCAUUAACAGUUAUUAUUAUGUUACUAAUUAUAACAACAAUUUAAUCUUCCAAUUGUGUUGACUGUUUAGGAAUUGAUUAGAUUGACAAAAAAACAAAAUCUAAUCAAUCAGCUGUUAUCCUUGAAUUUCCCGGUUAAAAGUGAGCUCCUGAUUAGCAUCACCAUGUCUCCAUCUAACGAUAGUGAUUAGAGUUAUUUUUUCAAGUGGAUAAUUUCAAUUGUCUUAAUUGUUACUUUAUUCACAUUUCACAUUUGGUGUUAGUUUUGUUUCCCUUUUCGUAAAUUGUUUGGUUUCAAGCGGGGAAAUUGGAAAAAAAAAGAGAUGAUGUUACAAUUAUCAAUCGAUUUCAAGUAAUCAAUAGAUCCUAAUGGUUAAGAUUCAUCCAAAUAUCACAAUGUGACUUUUUCCACAAUCAAAACAACAUCCUCAUCAUCCUCAUCAUCUUAUCUGUAUCAUGAUAAUUCACCUACUACAAUCCCGCUUUUCUGGUAUAAUAAUAGUUGAAUUUAUCUCUGAUGAUUGAAUAAUUCAAUUAGUGACUGAUUUAAGUACAAAAAAAACACACAUAGAUGAACACGAUUAACAAUACACCGAAUAACUUAAUUGUAACGAAAGUCUAACCUUGUAUUGAACGACAGCAACAACUACAACAUGACAACAAUCAAUUCUAAUUUCAUCAUCGUUGGUCUUUUUCAUCAUAAUCAUCAUAGUUCCAGAUUUAAUUGAAGAUUAUCCAGAUUAAUAACAUGAAGAGUGUGUUGUAAACAAAAAAAAAAUUGGCUACGAAACUAAUCAUCAACACAAUUUGAGACGCAACUUAUAUUUAGGUUAAUUAUUAUGUUUACGUUUAAAGCAUAGUAACAAUUACUGAUUACAAUUAACCGCCAUGUGAAUUGUUAUCAAUUUUAAAACACUUUUCCGGCUUCAGGAUAAAUAAUACAUAACAUGAUUAUUAGAUCAUCAAGUGUUAAUUUAUCAACAUCUAAUGAAGAUGACAAACAUUAAUGAUUAACUUAAUCAUUUUAACCAAGAUUGAUUUCUUUUUUUUUUCUUUGACAUCUUCUUCCGUUAAUUAUAUCAAACUUUUAAGAGAAAUCAAUUAAUUGUUUUGAUGAGAAAUCAGCAAUUCUUUAAUUGUUUCAGAUAUAUUACAAUGGUGAUGAUGAUUAAAUGAAAAAAAAGAGACACUGGUGAAAAGAUUAGGACUACAAUUAGAUACGAAUUGCAUUAAUAUUAUCAUAAUCAUUUAUCAAAAGGUUGGUAUUAGCAAUUUAAAUACAAAUUGACUAAUUGAUUUGAUUUACAAUUGAUCAAAAUUUAUCAAUUAAUCAGAAAUUAAAAAACAAACAAACAAAUCAAUUUAUAAAUAAACAUUUCGUAAGCUGCUAA